rnacentral:lncRNA from 1 species
GGCGGAGAAAAAAAUCUGUUGCUGCUAAAAUUCUCCCCUGAAGGCAGACAGGUGCUACCUUUGCCUUGGUUUCCCCUCUUGGAGUCUCCUCCAGGCCCCCCUCCCCUUGACCUGGACCUAUGCCCUCCUCUCAAUCCCUGGUCCAAGGCAGAAGUAAAAAGAAAGCAGCUCCGAAUUUAUUUAAUUACCCUCUUAGCCUGUCUUUUCCUUUGCAAUGCAUUUUUACUCAUGUUUUAGACCUAAUAUUACAAAGUGCUGAGCUGAAGGGAAAACAAUAAGGAAGGAAAGCCAAACGCUUUUACCCGAUCAGUAUGACUCCUUAGCGAAAAAGGCGCUUUCUCAGGAUCAUCUCCUACUUUGUACUGCAGGCUGCCUGGCGUUCCUGCCUGGCGCAGACCUCUAUCUAGAACUUACUGAAUUGCAUUGUAAGCAGAGGCUUGUGCCCACUACUCCUGGGCUCCUUAUGCACAGGGAUUGUGCCCUCUUCCACCCAGUGCUGCUUCAAACAGUGCUUGGUUAGACUGGGAGUUUGGGGUUAGUAGAUGCAAACUAUUAUAUUCAGAAUGGAUGAACAACAAGAUCCUACUGCAUAGCACAGGGAGCUAUGUCCAAUCCCCUGGGAUAGACCAUGAUGGAAAUGAAUAAUUUUUUUUAAAUGUAUAUAAAUGCAUGACUGAGUCACUUUGCUGUAUAGCAGGAAUUGGGCACGACAUUGUAAAUCAACUAUACAUUAAUAUAAAUAAAUAAAUAAAAAACAAACAAGCAAACAGACAAGCUCACAGUGUUUGGCUCCCAGUAAACACUUAAUAGGUUUGUCUGGUAUUGCAUACAAGCUUGCAUGCAAGAAAAAAGAUCUGCGAAUUCUAAAAACCAGAAGGGGCUCGGUGGUAAUGAACCCGACUACUAUCCAUGAGGAUGUGGGUUAGUUAGAUCCCUGGCCUCGCCCAGUGGGUUAAGGAUCCAGCUUUCCUGUGAGCUGUGGUGUAGGUUGCAGAUGCUGCUCGGAUCCGGCAUUGCUAUGGCUGUGGCCUAGGCUGGCGGCUAUAGCUCUUAUUUGAUUCCUUAGCCUGGGAACCUCCAUAUGCCUCAGGUGCGGCCCUAAAAAGGUCAACGGCAACAAAAAAAAUUUGCACGGAGAUAUUAGUGCAACUAAAACAAUAAGAGCUUGAUUAUUUUGAAGUGUCCAGUGAUGGAUGGAUGUAUAAUAAGUUUUUCUUAGUCUCAUUUUAGCUUCCGUCUUCCCACCGCUUUGAGAACAAGGGAAAACAAUGUCCCUUGAAUUUCGAUUAACUCCCUCCGUUUUGUGUAUUAAGGUAGGCAUAUACAUGUCCCAGGAAUUAAUGGGCAGAGAGAAUUAGAAGAACCCUCAGCUGGCCCAUAGGAAGCUAAACAUCAGCAAGGCAGCCUGGUAAGAUAAAAUCACCUUUUUUUUUUUUGGUAAACUUCGAUGGCCUUUGAUUUCAUGGCUUCUAGAAAUUUAUGAGGCACUCCAUAGGUUAGACAUCAGCACCAGCUUUAGGCCCUUUAUUUUAUCUCAGCCAAUAUUGCUUUAAUUCCCUCCAGAGUGGCAUUGCUCACUAGAAACUUUGGCAGAGAUGGAAAUAUUUCCGGGGCAGCAAUCGCUGGCCUCCCAAGGCUGUUGAACAUGUGAAAUGUGACUAAUACAACAGAAGACCUGAGUUUUAAUUAAGUUAAACUAAAAUUGAAGUUGAAAUAACCUUUUGUGUCCAGAGGGUACGAACUGAACAGCACAGCUCUAGAGAUUAAUGAGUAUUAGGCUGUCCUCUCCAUGUGUGCUAGCCUCCCUGGACUGCACAUGUUUGCAGUGCAAUGAACCGGGUCUUUUCUUUUUUCCUUUUUUGCCCAUGCCUGUGGCAGGAGGAAAUGCCCAGGCCAGGGAUCCAACUCGAGCCACAGAAGCAACAAUGACAAAUCCUUAACCGUUAGGCCACCAGGAAACUCCAUUGAACUCCAAGACCUGUCUUGCAAAUUAAAACUAUUUUGACCUGGAGUUAGCAUGUGCCUAAAUGUGUUUAUUAUAGCCAGAACUAUAAUAAGCAUUCUAUUAUAUGUGUAUAAUUGUAUGUAAAUGUAUGCAUAUGAAAGUCAGCACCUGCUACCAUAAUAAAAUAUCCUAGACUGGGUGUCUCAAACAAAAGAAAUUUACCCCUCAUAGUUCCUGAGGUUGAGAAGGCCAAGAUCAAGGUGUCAGCAUGGUCGGGUCAUGAUGAGAGCCCUCUUCCAAGUCUGCAGAUGGCCCGUUUCUUACUUCAGCCUCCCAUGUUGGAGAGAGAGCAAGUCUGGUCUUGCUCCCUUUUUAUAAUGGCACUCAUCCUCUCAGGGGGACCUUACUCUCAUGACCUCAUCUAAACCUGAUUAUCUCCCAAAGGCUCCAUCUCCAAGCACCGGCUCACAAUUCAGCCCACAGCAAUACAUACACACACACACACACACACACGCACACACCCUGUAAGUUUAACAGUGUCCUAUAAAGUGUAACAGUGCUAUAAAGUUCUAGUUUUUUUUCAUGAUCACUAUUCCAAUGCAGUAGCAAUUUGAUUUAAAGUCAUCUAAUAAACAAUUCUUUAAAAAGAAAAACACGGAGUUCCCCUUGUGACUUGGUGGUAAUGUACCCAACUAGUAUCCAUGAGGAGUCAGGUUGAUCCAUGGGCUCUAUCAGUGGGUCAAAUGACCCGAUGUUGCUGUAGCUGUGGUGUAGGUUGAAGAUGCACCUUAAUUUGACCCCUAGCCUGGAAACUUCCAUAUGGCAUGGGAGCGGCCCUAAAGAGAGACACACACACACACAUACACACACACACACGCAGAAAGAAAGUUGCUCCUACUGCGCCAGUGCUCACUGGCUAAGCUGGCACUGAGAGAGCUCAGGGCAGAGCAGAAAGCUGUGCAGUGAGAUCUGAGGGAUCCAGAAACACUCCCCUCUGAAAAUGCCUCCUUGCAUGGGGGUUAUGGAAUGCAAGGUGGCUGAUUAAAAAUGUAAGUGAUUUCUAGAGAGGAUAAUAUAAAGGUCCAUUUAUCGUCUCCCAGAAUCUCAAAACUCUCAAAACCAUCUCUGUUCUCUCAAAUGGAUUUUUUUAAUCUGCAAAAACUUUCUUUUAGAACAAUGUUACAUGGAAGCCUGUCAUAAAACUGAAAUGGAUACAGAACUGAGAGGCAGGAACAGAAGCUCCAGCACCAUGUGUCCCCGGAACAAAGGCUAAGAAACUCCCAGGACACUUUGGAAACUGAUUUCAAACAAAGAAUAUUCAAUACAUGUAAGAAAAAAAACCCAGAAAGAUCCCAGGGUUAAAGAACAGCAGGGCCUGGUGGUCCCUCUGCUAUACCCAAUGCACUGCAGGGAGUCAACCUACCAUGUCAUUCAUCUGUGGAAUAGAUCUACAUUUUCCAUUGUAUAUAGAUAUAUAUAUUCCAUAUAUAAUCUACAGAUAUUAUAUAUAAGGUGGAAUAUUACUUAGUCAUCAAAAAGAAAAAAUCAUGUAAUUUGUGACAACAUGGAUGAACCUUGAAGGCAUUAUGCUAAGUGAAAUAAAUCAGACAGGGAAAGACAAUUACCGAAUGAUCUCAUUAUAUAUGGAAUC